CCGAAUGGGGAAACCCAGUGUGAUUCGUCACACUAUCAUUAACUGAAUCCAUAGGUUAAUGAGGCGAACCGGGGGAACUGAAACAUCUAAGUACCCCGAGGAAAAGAAAUCAACCGAGAUUCCCCCAGUAGCGGCGAGCGAACGGGGAGGAGCCCAGAGCCUGAAUCAGCAUGUGUGUUAGUGGAAGCGUCUGGAAAGGCGCGCGAUACAGGGUGACAGCCCCGUACACAAAAGCGCAUGUGCUGUGAGCUCGAUGAGUAGGGCGGGACACGUGGUAUCCUGUCUGAAUAUGGGGGGACCAUCCUCCAAGGCUAAAUACUCCUGACUGACCGAUAGUGAACCAGUACCGUGAGGGAAAGGCGAAAAGAACCCCGGCGAGGGGAGUGAAAAAGAACCUGAAACCGUGUACGUACAAGCAGUGGGAGCNNGUGACUGCGUACCUUUUGUAUAAUGGGUCAGCGACUUAUAUUCUGUAGCAAGGUUAACCGUAUAGGGGAGCCGGAGGGAAACCGAGUCUUAAUUGGGCGUUAAGUUGCAGGGUAUAGACCCGAAACCCGGUGAUCUAGCCAUGGGCAGGUUGAAGGUUGGGUAACACUAACUGGAGGACCGAACCGACUAAUGUUGAAAAAUUAGCGGAUGACCUGUGGCUGGGGGUGAAAGGCCAAUCAAACCGGGAGAUAGCUGGUUCUCCCCGAAAGCUAUUUAGGUAGCGCCUCGUGAAUUCAUCUCCGGGGGUAGAGCACUGUUUCGGCUAGGGGGCCAUCCCGGCUUACCAACCCGAUGCAAACUGCGAAUACCGGAGAAUGUUAUCACGGGAGACACACGGCGGGUGCUAACGUCCGUCGUGAAGAGGGAAACAACCCAGACCGCCAGCUAAGGUCCCAAAGUCAUGGUUAAGUGGGAAACGAUGUGGGAAGGCCCAGACAGCCAGGAUGUUGGCUUAGAAGCAGCCAUCAUUUAAAGAAAGCGUAAUAGCUCACUGGUCGAGUCGGCCUGCGCGGAAGAUGUAACGGGGCUAAACCAUGCACCGAAGCUGCGGCAGCGANNUGCUGGAGGUAUCAGAAGUGCGAAUGCUGACAUAAGUAACGAUAAAGCGGGUGAAAAGCCCGCUCGCCGGAAGACCAAGGGUUCCUGUCCAACGUUAAUCGGGGCAGGGUGAGUCGACCCCUAAGGCGAGGCCGAAAGGCGUAGUCGAUGGGAAACGGGUUAAUAUUCCCGUACUUGGUGUUACUGCGAAGGGGGGACGGAGAAGGCUAUGUUGGCCGGGCGACGGUUGUCCCGGUUUAAGCGUGUAGGUGUGUGUUCCAGGUAAAUCCGGUUCACUUUAACACUGAGGCGUGACGACGAGGCACUACGGUGCUGAAGCAACAAAUGCCCUGCUUCCAGGAAAAGCCUCUAAGCAUCAGGUAACAUCAAAUCGUACCCCAAACCGACACAGGUGGUCAGGUAGAGAAUACCAAGGCGCUUGAGAGAACUCGGGUGAAGGAACUAGGCAAAAUGGUGCCGUAACUUCGGGAGAAGGCACGCUGACACGUAGGUGAAGUGAUUUACUCAUGGAGCUGAAGUCAGUCGAAGAUACCAGCUGGCUGCAACUGUUUAUUAAAAACACAGCACUGUGCAAACACGAAAGUGGACGUAUACGGUGUGACGCCUGCCCGGUGCCGGAAGGUUAAUUGAUGGGGUCAGCGUAAGCGAAGCUCCUGAUCGAAGCCCCGGUAAACGGCGGCCGUAACUAUAACGGUCCUAAGGUAGCGAAAUUCCUUGUCGGGUAAGUUCCGACCUGCACGAAUGGCGUAAUGAUGGCCAGGCUGUCUCCACCCGAGACUCAGUGAAAUUGAACUCGCUGUGAAGAUGCAGUGUACCCGCGGCAAGACGGAAAGACCCCGUGAACCUUUACUAUAGCUUGACACUGAACAUUGAGCCUUGAUGUGUAGGAUAGGUGGGAGGCUUUGAAGUGUGGACGCCAGUCUGCAUGGAGCCGACCUUGAAAUACCACCCUUUAAUGUUUGAUGUUCUAACGUGGACCCGUAAUCCGGGUUGCGGACAGUGUCUGGUGGGUAGUUUGACUGGGGCGGUCUCCUCCUAAAGAGUAACGGAGGAGCACGAAGGUUGGCUAAUCCUGGUCGGACAUCAGGAGGUUAGUGCAAUGGCAUAAGCCAGCUUGACUGCGAGCGUGACGGCGCGAGCAGGUGCGAAAGCAGGUCAUAGUGAUCCGGUGGUUCUGAAUGGAAGGGCCAUCGCUCAACGGAUAAAAGGUACUCCGGGGAUAACAGGCUGAUACCGCCCAAGAGUUCAUAUCGACGGCGGUGUUUGGCACCUCGAUGUCGGCUCAUCACAUCCUGGGGCUGAAGUAGGUCCCAAGGGUAUGGCUGUUCGCCAUUUAAAGUGGUACGCGAGCUGGGUUUAGAACGUCGUGAGACAGUUCGGUCCCUAUCUGCCGUGGGCGCUGGAGAACUGAGGGGGGCUGCUCCUAGUACGAGAGGACCGGAGUGGACGCAUCACUGGUGUUCGGGUUGUCAUGCCAAUGGCACUGCCCGGUAGCUAAAUGCGGAAGAGAUAAGUGCUGAAAGCAUCUAAGCACGAAACUUGCCCCGAGAUGAGUUCUCCCUGAGACUUAGAGUCUCCUGAAGGAACGUUGAAGACGACGACGUUGAUAGGCCGGGUGUGUAAGCGCAGCGAUGCGUUGAGCUAACCGGUACUAAUGAACCGUGAGGCUUAACCUUACAAC
rnacentral:rRNA from 1 species